rnacentral:lncRNA from 1 species
GGGGAGGGGUUGGUCCCUGCAGCUGUGCAUUCACGUGCCAUUAAGGUGACCAGUCAGUUUGUGCAACAUGGAAUAAACUUGGAGCUGAAGAAGCCAGUAACCCAGAAAUGCUAUUGGAGCAGACAAAAAAAAAAAGAGCAUCCCAAUAAAAGCUUUAUCUCUCUAGCCAAAGCAGCAGGAAAAGAACAACAUAGCAAGAGAUAAAACUUUAAAUAAUAAUGGUUCUACUGCAGCCAAACACCCAGAAAAUUGUGCGCCCAUCCCCAACCACUUCAGCAAAGGCUAUGGGGAGCUUAGACCCCCAGAUUCGUGAGACUGUAGCAGGGUGCCCCAGCUCCCAUGGUGAGUGGUGUCAGAAGGCUGAUUAGGAAGCUGGGACUUCAAACCAGUAAUGCCAACCAGUAAUAAGGUCCCCCAUCCUCAUCCUGUAGGGUCAAUGGAGACCACGUAGACACUUCCACCCCUACCUGGCAGUAAUGAGGCACCCCUCUUUCUCCCCUCUGAGGUAGUGCCAGAGGAGGCCUAGGCUUUCACAACUGGUCUGCAGGAACAAGGCUACUCCCAACAAGGUGUCCAUGGAGACCACACAAGGAGCAGGAACUCCCACCCCUAUAGUAAUGAGGAAAAUUCUACUUGGCUUUCAACAAAGACCAAGUGGGGAAUCUGCAUUUCUACCUCCAUCUGGCAGGAAUGAAGUGGCAUGACCUCUUUUGCUUCCAGAGUGAUAGCAGAAAAAUCCAAUUAAAACAGAAGGUUUAAAUAAGAUCUGAAGUCUUACAACAUAAUAUGAAAAUUAGUUUGGAGAGAGAGAAAGGGGUUGAGUGUUUGCAUGAAAGGGAAAGAGAGGUCCACGUGCCACAGAUGACAGAUAGGCUGGGUGAGAACUUUAGAGUUGGCCCCUCUCUGCUGUUGCAGGGCAAGGAAACAACACUUCAGCCCAGCGCUGGUCUGAGGCAGUUGGAAUAAUAGCAAGGUAGGGCUGGAAUUCUGUGGGGGUUGGUGAGCUGAUGACAAGAACUGCAGGUGAGCUGGCUGGCCUCUAGACAAUCCCAAUAGAGGGGGCUAGCCCAUGGAGAGUGGCAUUGCCUGCAGCCUAGAAUCUGGUCCAUGCUCAGAAGAGGAGAGGGAAAGGGGUGCAAAAGGAAGUGACUGUGAACAAAUUGUUGCCGAGGCUCUCUGACCUGGAGAUCCUCUCCACAACCCACUUUACCAG